AUUUGGACUUGGAAAUAACGUUGGUAGUAUAUUAAUUUUCUGUUGUUAGAAUGUUAUUGUUUUAUAUUGUGCCCAACGCUCAUCGCGACAGCCAUGAUGCGUACAUUUACGUAUGAUGCGUGAGUGCGUAUACACACGUGUGGAUCGAGCAGUGCGGAGUGCUCUUUAUUUACAGUAUAUUUAUAUAUAAGUAACUAUUAUAUUCUAAAAGUUGUAUAUUAAUAAUAAGAACUCAAUUAACCAUAUGUGCUAUGAAUAGUAGCUGAUAUGAUGAUCUAUAUAACCUAUAAUUUAGGUUAACUACAAAUAACGUUCUUUGGGUAUCGGUAGAAACUAUAUAGUGGAAUUAAUUUGCUAUUUUCUUGCAAUUUACUGCCGAUUAUUUUCAGCUGUUUGAGUGCGUCGAGAUCAUGAGCAAACGCACGCUUGUUGCGACAGCCAAUCGGAAGCAGUAAUAGUUCUGGAGACUGUAGUCGCAUUAUCUUACAUAUACGUAUGAUGUGUGAGUGUGUCAUAUAUACGUACGUUUGUGCUUGUGCGCUUGUGCGCUGUCGAGCGCUUUUAAUUGUAUACAACAUUUUUAUAUGGGUAGCUGGUGAUUCAAGAUCUAUUUUUCGACCUAUAUAAGAGAGAAAUUUGCAGAAGAAAAAAAAUAUACCAAAGUAUUAAUAAGGAUCGAACAUAUUCUUGAUGUACUCGGGCCGCGAGGCUGAGCAAUAUUCUAAGGAAAGUAUUGUACAAGAUACAAAGAUUGGACAAUAUCUCAUCCCUUUAUCUUCUAUUGACAAUUUGAAGAUAUGCUAAAAACUGAUCAAGAAGCUUUCAUGCAAGUUGUGAACAAGGUUAUGUUAAUUGGAGGGAAACAUGAAAAGAAUUUUAUUAAAAGAAGUUUGAGGGCUACAUUUUCUGAUGACUUAGCCUCCAUGUGUUCAUGAACUGGCCAAAAAAAUAAUUAUAAAAUUGGAGAUACGCACACACAAUUCUGAGCAUUAAAAGUAAAAGCUUUUAGAGCAAUAUUCCCUCGGAAUACAGAAAAAGAUUUUCAAUACUUUGUAAUGGAGUGGUUCAGAUUCGCAAACGUCCGUAAGGAAAAAAAAACAUUAAAAAGGAAGUGAUAAAUAUAUUAUCUUACUUGCGUGGCUCCGCGCGAGUGAUUAUUAUAGUAACAAAUUUUUUUAUUUGAAAGAUGAGUUUUAUCCCAAAACCUUACGCUAGGAUCAGUGAUCUUCACCAAAAAUAUUAUUGUGAUAAACUGAAAA